GAUGAAGAACGCAGCGAAAUGCGAUAAGUAAUGUGAAUUGCAGAAUUCAGUGAAUCAUCGAAUCUUUGAACGCACAUUGCGCCCCUUGGUAUUCCGAGGGGCAUGCCUGUUCGAGCGUCAUUAUAACCCCUCAAGCUCAGCUUGGUGUUGGGGCCUGCUGCACUGGCAGCCCUUAAAAUCAGUGGCGGCGCCGUCUGGCUCUAAGCGUAGUAAGUCUUCUCGCUAUGGAGUCCUGGUGGAUGCUUGCCAUCAACCCCCAAUUUUUCUAUGGUUGACCUCGGAUCAGGUAGGGAUACCCGCUGAACUUAAGCAUAUCAAUCAGCGGAGGA
rnacentral:misc_RNA from 1 species